rnacentral:rRNA from 1 species
AAUGAACGCUGGCGGCAUGCCUAACACAUGCAAGUCGAACGAAGGCUUCGGCCUUAGUGGCGCACGGGUGCGUAACGCGUGGGAAUCUGCCCUUGGGUUCGGAAUAACAGUUAGAAAUGACUGCUAAUACCGGAUGAUGUCGUAAGACCAAAGAUUUAUCGCCCAAGGAUGAGCCCGCGUAGGAUUAGCUAGUUGGUGGGGUAAAGGCCUACCAAGGCGACGAUCCUUAGCUGGUCUGAGAGGAUGAUCAGCCACACUGGGACUGAGACACGGCCCAGACUCCUACGGGAGGCAGUAGUGGGGAAUAUUGGACAAUGGGCGAAAGCCUGAUCCAGCAAUGCCGCGUGAGAGAUGAAGGCCUUAGGGUUGUAAAGCUCUUUUACCCGGGAUGAUAAUGACAGUACCGGGAGAAUAAGCUCCGGCUAACUUCGUG